rnacentral:rRNA from 1 species
UACGUAGGGGGCAAGCGUUGUCCGGAAUCAUUGGGCGUAAAGAGCGUGUAGGCGGCUCGGUAAGUCCGCUGUGAAAGUCCAGGGCUCAACCCUGGAAUGCCGGUGGAAACUGUCGAGCUAGAGUCCGGAAGAGGCGAGUGGAAUUCCUGGUGUAGCGGUGAAAUGCGCAGAUAUCAGGAGGAACACCAAUGGCGAAGGCAGCUCGCUGGGACGGUACUGACGCUGAGACGCGAAAGCAUGGGGAGCAAACAGG